rnacentral:rRNA from 1 species
UUGACCUCAAAUCAGGUAGGACUACCCGCUGAACUUAAGCAUAUCAAUAAGCGGAGGAAAAGAAACUAACAAGGAUUCCCUUAGUAACUGCGAGUGAAGAGGGAAGAGCUCAAAUUUAAAAUCUGGCAGUGUUUUGCUGUCCGAGUUGUAAUCUAGAGAAGGCGC